rnacentral:lncRNA from 1 species
GUGUGCAACAGCUACUGAUAGGUAAACACCUCUAAGAAGCUUCCUCCAAACAUUUGGUGCAGCUUGCUUCGUAAUCUGAGAUGCCUCUGACUGUUACCCCUCAGCUGUUCUGCCUAUGGUGUAUCUCUCAGGUGCUAGGUUAUUUAUUUAGCUAAAUAUUGAUGUAUCACAAGUGCAACAAUGUCAGAACAGCUGACAAUAAAGGUAGGGCCCUAAUUCACUUCAAAUGUUGAGCAGAGGCAGCGUGGAUAGGUUUUGUGGAGCUGCACCUGUUUAUGUCAGCAGCAAAUUUAGUUUUACGUGCCAUGGGAUGCUCACCUGGCAUCCAGUUGCUUCAGCUUGGAGAAAUUUUUUGCAAAUCCUGUAUAUCCCUGCAUACUGGUACUAGAGAGGUGUGCUGAAGCAAGCUCUCCAAUUUCCAAUGCGUGGAGGCUCUUGCAGCCCCAACUUUUCAGCUUCUGAUCCAGCCCUGGCAAUCAGGGGAGCUGCUUGAUUGGGGUUUCUUUCUUCAUUUUGGAGGAGUUUAGGCUUAACUCUAAGCAUUAGAACUGUGAAAACUGCUUGUUGUCUCAUAAACUCUGUCUGGUCCUGAGGAAUUAUAGCUGAAUCUUUGGGGAUGUCACCAUACAUCAUUCUUCUUCUAAUUCGUGUACUGAAAGGCAGAAACUUGGAGUAUGCACACGUGUGAAUGAGUGGAGAAGGGCUGUCUUUGGUUUCUUUGUGUCUCUUACCAAGGUAAAGAAGACUGUCAAGUUUGGAGAGACUACAUCCAUUCUAGAAGCUGCUUACCUGAGCCACAAACGUUUAUACGGAAGUCUGGCCCUAAGGCUUUUCAACUCAGAAGACUCUGCAGUUCAAGUGCAUUUUGAUCAGUGGCUGAUCUCCGCCUCACAUCUGAAAAGUUCACUGAGGUUCUCAGCACCAUUCAAAAUGCUUGGAGGUGAAGGUAUGAAACACAGAAAAUGAUCAGAGUAGUAAUGAUGAUAAUACCAGAAAAAGAUAGACUGGUGAAGCAGCUAAGAUAUUAUAAUCCAAAAAAAUGUUAUGGGUAAUUUUCUUCUCAUAACCUGAGGACAAAAACUUUAUUACUCUUUAAACUCCAAUAUUGCACCAAUUAAAUUCCAGCUUAAGAACUAAGGUUUCCAGUCCACUUUUCAUUUGAAAAGGUAUCUCUUAUUCUUGUUCCCAGACGUCCCAUAAGAAC